CUACGAUAAAUGAUUGAAGUUACCGAAAUGAGCAUCAAGGAGGAGUGAUAAAUUUAAUGAUGCUCAUUUCUAGAAGAAUCUAGAAUUACUUGCCUACAAUAUCCUAGAAUUCCUUGGUAAGCAAGUAUAAUAAAAAAUUAGAAUUGUCUAGAUUCCACUAGAGUAACUUGAACACCAAAAAAAUCUUGUAUAGGUUGUAGACACUUGUAGAAUUCUCUAGAAGAUAUGAUAAGAGUCUAUAAAUAGGGCAUGAUCCCUCAUUUGUUAGUAAGAAAAAAGAAGCUAGACAAAGUUCAAGCUAUUGUAAGCUAUCAUCAUUCUAAUAAAAUUCCUUUCUCCUACCCACUUUAUCCACCAAAUUACUUUCUACCAAAAUCUUCCAAACUAUUAACUUUCAAUAAAAAAGCCAACUAUUUUUUAACCCCAAAAUUAUUCUAUACAAAACAUCCUCAAUCAUCAUAUCUCAUCACUACAACAACACAAAAACUAUCAAAAAUCCCAUCAUUAGAUGACAUGAGAUUGUUGGUGAGGAAAGUGGUUUAGCCCCGGGUCAUAUUAUUCAAUCUAACAUUAAAAACAAGAUCAAAGUUAAGGAGAGAAGCUAAUCUAACAAUAUGUGAUUCGGCAUAUCAGACAUGCUUCUAAUGUAAGUAGAGAAUCUGCAAGAAUGAUGAUAUAUCUCUUCACUGCAGUAAAUUUCAGCAUUUUUACUCUCUUUUGGUAAUGUAAAAUUGAGAAUUCAACAAGGUGCCCACGAUAAUCAGGAUCAUAUAAUUCCUAAGCUCUUCCUACAGCUUAGAAGAGCUCCUGGAUCCAUUGUAUAUUGAACUCUUGCGAAAAUUAUGUCCAGGAACUUUGUCAGCAACAAGAACAAGACAGUUGAAAAUGAGGCUUUGAGAAGCGUCUAAAAGUUACUCCCUUCAUUCGGCAUUUCCUGCAUAAACAAGUAUCAAAUUGUUAGCCACUUGUUAUUCGUCCAUAUUUCUUUUUCCAAUAGAUAAUAGUAUCUUUUCAUCUCCUUCAGAUUGGCAAACUAGAAUACAAAUCAAUUAUCAUUUGUCCUUUAGGUUAAAAGUGGAAGGUUAGAAUCUCUUAGAGGUCAUUGGAAAAAAUAUUAUAAAAAGACUCGGCAACAUUUUGAGCCAAAAUCAAUCUUUUUAUAUAUGCAUAAUAUGUUCUUCAAUGUAUUGCACCAAUCGUGUUUAGAAUUCACGACAAGGUUCUUUUGACUUCCUUUGCAGUAUGGACGUAUUGAUUACAAUGAGUUGGUGUUGCAUGAUAAUGUUUCGCGCGGCGCGGGUUAGUCGCUAACAAUUAAAAAGAAUCAGACGAUUGUGUAAGGGACAAACCUCUUGAGACAAAGUCCCAAAAAAAGGGUGUUCUUUUAUUGGCGAUGACUUUACAAUUGGAAAUGAAAAACAACGUGCCUCCAAGGGGCGCAAGCACACGAGUUAUUGAAAGAAAAAUGUUUAAAUCUAAAGCUAAGGAAAUGAAAAUUACAUAUUCUCUGUUCGAUAGUUUUGGAUUCGGUCCUUUGCUUCUAUGUCCUUUCUCCCUUUUAUACUUCAUGGAUGAUCUCUUUGUGAUCAACCGUCCAAAAAACUGCUUGAUCGUCCUAUAACUGCCCACUUUCUUCGUAAUGGCCAACUUGUCAUGAAAACUGCAUUUUUUAACUGCUGCCAUUACUCUUCAUCGUUCAACCGCUUUCAAUUGAAUUUCUUAAAUCGUGGAACGUGAUAGGGCUGCUUUAAUAACUGCUUUGAUAAUUGCACUUCUUGAUAACCACGACGCUUUAUGUUUGUUAAGACCUUGGGCGACUUGAAGGUUUGGGCGAGAACAGAGUAACAGCUCUGAGCGACUGUAUGACACUCCAUUCGCUCAGAUUCUGGGCGACUUGCAAACUUGGGCGAUGGCGUUUCCGCGUUCUUGGGCCUCCUUAUUUAGGCAUUCAUCUUGAUUUGUUCGAUUGAGCUUCGUUCUUUGGGCUAUCUGAUUUGGGGAUCCUCCAAUUUGGCUUCACUCCUUGGGCUGUUUGAUUUGGGCUGAAUUUUUAUAUGUCAACAAUUACCCCCCAAUAUGGCAGAAUUAAGAAUAAUUAUUAGAUUUUGCCAUAUUCACUUUGUGUUUCCAGCAACAUUCGAAAUUUUCAAGAAUUUCAAUCAUUGUUUUCUUCUAUAACUUGAAAAUAUGCGUCGUUUUGUAAACCCUUAUAAACUCCAAACACGCCAUUUCACUGCACCAUUAAACCACGCCUCAAAUUUUUUGCGUCUCUCUCACGAUUUGCUGUUCAUCUCUUGCUUCCCUGCUACGUAACCCUGAAAAACUUCGUUCCUUCUCAAAUGGCUGCUUCACAAUCUCAAGCUGGCGACUCCUUUAGUUUUGAUGACUUUCAGAAACUUCUGAGUCGCCCAUACAUAACUCCAAGUUUUCUCGCGCCCGACGAUGUCGAACGUAAUGAGUUCUACUUGGGUCCUUUCUUCAACAAUGCAGAGGCAGUUGAACAGGCGGUGGUGGGUCAGUUGUUUCCUUACACUCAUGGCCCUCCUUUUCUAAACUCUCUACCGCUGGGGCCACUUCACGAAAGAGGUAUUCGCACUUGGCCUAAAUCUGAUGUAGCUUUUCGUAAGUGGCAUGCUCGCCUUGUGGGUCAUGGUCUUACUAAGGCACUUUUUGAUAGCGCUAGAAUUUCUGAUUUGUUAGAAAUCUCUAUUCGUCCCCCUACUUUUGAUUCAGCUCUCUUUUCGAUUGCUUUGAGUUUUUGGUCUCCUGAGUAUAACACCUUUAUUUUUCCUCUUGGCCCCAUGUCUAUUAUCUUAAGGGAUGUUGGGGCCCUGGUGAAUCUACCACCUUUGGGGGAUACCAUUUUUCCUGGUAUCUUGGUUUCUGGUGGCGUCCCAAAAUUUGGUAAAAACUACACCGAUUCUUAUUUAAGCCUGCAGACCCUUCACAAUCAUUUGAGCGCUGAGCCUUCCCAUACUAAGCGAGUGGCCUUUCUUUUAAUUUGGCUUUGUAAAUAUGUUUUGUGCAUGCCAAGCAUAAAGCCCUCCCUGAGUUAUUUACCUAUAGCACACGAACUGGCGCGUGGCAGGCCUUUGAAUUUAUGUUCUUUGUUUUUGGCUGCCCUUUAUAGAGGCAUGACCUCUCUUCAAGCUCAAUUGAAGAAUGGUGCAUCUCCCACCGGCAGUGGACCUCUUUAGUUCACUCAACUAUGGUUGAGAUCCUAUUUUCCAUUGCUUGGUGCUCCAUCCAUCUCUCGCUCCUCUGCUAGCUGUUAUGGGCUUGCCAUGGAGCCCUUAGCUCCUGUAAAUAUGUCUAGAAUGGACAUUUUUUCAUUCUUUUAUUCUUUGAAUUCAAUCCCUUCCUUUUUUCCUUUUCCUCCUUUUUUUGACUCCAAACUAUGUACAUCCCCCUUCCACUAUAGAUAGCGUGAGCACCUCCAUGCUCAUUUGGAUCCAGUUUUUAACCGGGAGGGAGCUAUUUCAUGAUAUUCUAACUGGGACCAAUGCCAAAGCGGGGGUAGAGAUUUAUGCUCCCCAAUUUUUGGCUCGUCAGCUUGGUUUUGGCCAAACUUGGCCUGUUCCUCCUUGCUAUUUAAGGAACUUAGUUGACCGUUUUUAUACCAUUACUAAGGCGGAGGCAGAGGCUAUAGAUGCUCGUAAUCUUCUUUUAACCAGCCAUUUUUCAUUAGCCCAUUUCAAUUCUAGCCAUGCCAUUCACCCUCUUUUUGAACAGCUCUGGCCGUCAGUGAAGUGCAGAUUAUUUGCGACUGACGCCAAUCGUGCCUUUCAUUCAUUAGACCAACCGAGCAUUUCUUCCCAUCCUCCUGUUUUAGUCACUCCCUUGUCCAUUCGGAGUCCUUCUCCUUCUCGUUGCACUAAAUAAUCUGCUCGUCCAUCUUCUUCUCUCCCUGCCAAGCCUACUACGGCCAAGAGUGCCCCAAGCCGCAAACGGCCAGCCUCAGCAUCUCCCAUUCUGGAGGAUGAUGUUGAUAAUGAUGAUAAUGCCCCUCUUAUCGUCAGGAGGAAGGUAAUUAAAUUGGUUUACUCACAAGUAUACUUUUCCACACUUGAAACUUUUCUGUGUGCUGAUGAUCUUUUGGACUUCUCAGAAAAGUUCAGCCUCUCCUUCAAAGGCUUUGGCAUCGACAGCUCCUGCUCCAUCAUCCUCUGCUGAGGCCACUUCAUCCAAACCAGUUGAUGAGGGAGCUAUGCUUAAAGAGAGACAUCUUCAGUCCUAGAGUCCUCAUCACAACCCAUGGAUGAACCACCUUCUUACCAGGGCGUCAACCCCCCAAACAUUGAAGCAGAAGGUAAUUCAGUCUUUUGAUGUCUUACCUUUGCUUGUGCUGUUGGUUUCUGAUUUGUUGCUCUUGAGUUUUGCAGAUAUUCCUAUGAGUCUGCCCAUUGUGGCAACAUCUUCUCGCUCAGAUAAGGGGAAGUCUUCACGAAUGGAGGAGUCGUUGGUGGCAGACUUGGUUGAGGGCAUGCCAUCUUCCACGAUCGUUGAUGAGGUAGUCUUUGCUUUACUUCUAUUUCUAUUUUGUUCAUUGUAGUGAGCAUCUUUAAUAUUGGCAAUUUUCUUUGCAGGAUGCUGACAGGAUUGUGCGUUCUAUCCAAGACUUGUUCGCUUCCUGGGGGCAAGUCCAGACGUCUCGCCCUGCUCCAUCUGAUCGUCCUGCUGCUUCUUCAGAGGAAGAUUUGAAGUUCCUCAAAGAGUCGAUAUUUGAGUACGUAUCCUUCAUGGAUAUGGAUAUUGGAAGGGCUAGUGCUGCCAGACACAAAGAUAAACUUGAGCAUUUGAGUGCGAAGUUGGAGCAAGCACUGACACUUCCGUCGCUCAAUCUUUCUGCCGAUUUUAAAGCGACGUUGAAGAUUAUCCACUCCGAGGUCCUUUCUAUGCUGGCCAAGAAUACUGAACUAAAGGCCAAGCGUACUCAAUAUCUUCGAGCCGUAGCUGAGAAAGAGUCUUUGCGUAUGGAGAUUAACAAGGCUGAGGACGAGUUGAAAGAAAUCUCUUCCGAGGUCAUGGUUGAAGACUCUUUGAUGGUUAACUUGGCUGCUCAGAUGAAGAAACUUUAAGCCAAAAUGGAUGACUGCAGGGCGAGAAUGGCUGCUAAAAAGUGCAACGCCUCCCAGAAAAUUGAGCGAACUAAGUCCUUGGUUGAGCAGUACAAGAAGUUGGAAGUUGAUGAUGAUGCCGCGGCUGAAUUGAACAUCACUUCCUCUCGGCAGAACGAGGAUUGGGAAAAACUUAGGGAACGAAUCCGUUCAGUAUGGGGUGGACUGUAAUUAAGACAUAUGAUGUCUUUUUUUCUUUCUUUUGUAAUUUGAUUUUUCCCUUUGUAAUUUUGUUCAUCAUUAAUGAACAUUAACUUCUUGUGCAUUUAUUUGA
rnacentral:lncRNA from 1 species